rnacentral:rRNA from 1 species
UACGUAGGGGGCUAGCGUUGUCCGGAUUUAUUGGGCGUAAAGAGCGUGUAGGCGGCCAGGUAGGUCUGCUGUGAAAACUCGAGGCUCAACCUCGAGACGUCGGCGGAAACCAUCUGGCUAGAGUCCGGAAGAGGAGAGUGGAAUUCCUGGUGUAGCGGUGAAAUGCGCAGAUAUCAGGAGGAACACCAGCGGCGAAGGCGGGUUGCUGGGCUGAUACUGACGCUGAGGCGCGAAAGCCAGGGGAGCGAACGGG